GUGGGGAAUAUUGGACAAUGGGCGAAAGCCUGAUCCAGCCAUGCCGCGUGUGUGAAGAAGGUCUUCGGAUUGUAAAGCACUUUAAGUUGGGAGGAAGGGCAGUAAGUUAAUACCUUGCUGUUUUGACGUUACCGACAGAAUAAGCACCGGCUAACUUCGUGCCAGCAGCCGCGGUAAUACGAAGGGUGCAAGCGUUAAUCGGAAUUACUGGGCGUAACGCGCGCGUAGGUGGUUUUGUAAGUUGGAGGUGAAAUCCCCGGGCGCAACCUGGGAACUGCCUCCAAAACUGCAUGACUAGAGUACGGUAGAGGGUAGUGGAAUUUCCUGUGUAGCGGUGAAAUGCGUAGAUAUAGGAAGGAACACCAGUGGCGAAGGCGACUACCUGGACUGAUACUGACACUGAGGUGCGAAAGCGUGGGGAGCAAACAGGAUUAGAAACCCGAGUAGUCC
rnacentral:rRNA from 1 species